rnacentral:rRNA from 1 species
AUUGAACGCUGGCGGCAUGCUUUACACAUGCAAGUCGAACGGUAACAGGCCGCAAGGUGCUGACGAGUGGCGAACGGGUGAGUAAUGCAUCGGAACGUGCCCAGUCGUGGGGGAUAACUACUCGAAAGAGUAGCUAAUACCGCAUACGAUCUAUGGAUGAAAGCGGGGGACCGUAAGGCCUCGCGCGAUUGGAGCGGCCGAUGUCAGAUUAGGUAGUUGGUGGGGUAAAGGCUCACCAAGCCAACGAUCUGUAGCUGGUCUGAGAGGACGACCAGCCACACUGGGACUGAGACACGGCCCAGACUCCUACGGGAGGCAGCAGUGGGGAAUUUUGGACAAAGGGCGCAAGCCUGAUCCAGCAAUGCCGCGUGCAGGAAGAAGGCCUUCGGGUUGUAAACUGCUUUUGUACGGAACGAAACGGCUCUGGUUAAUACCCGGGGAUAAUGACGGUACCGUAAGAAUAAGCACCGGCUAACUACGUG